GGUUAAAAAGCUCGUAGUUGGAUUUUGGGCGCAGGCGGCCGGUCCGUCGCAAGGCGUGUACUGGCCGUCCUGGCCUCACCUCCGGUUCUCCGCCGGUGCCCUUGACUGAGUGUCGGCGGCGGCCGGAACGUUUACUUUGAAAAAAUUAGAGUGUUCAAAGCAGGCGAUUCGCCUGAAUAAUGGUGCAUGGAAUAAUGGAAUAGGACCUCGGUUCUAUUUUGUUGGUUUUCGGAGCGCGAGGUAAUGAUUAAGAGGGACAGACGGGGGCAUUCGUACUGUGCCGUUAGAGGUGAAAUUCUUGGAUCGGCGCAAGACGAACGACUGCGAAAGCAUUUGCCAAGAAUGUUUUCUUUAAUCAAGAGCGAAAGUCAGAGGUUCGAAGACGAUCAGAUACCGUCCUAGUUCUGACUAUAAACGAUGCCAACUAGCGAUCGGGGGGCGUUAGUUUUACGACCUCUCCGGCAGCUUGCGGGAAACCAAAGUCUUUGGGUUCCGGGGGAAGUAUGGUUGCAAAGCUGAAACUUAAAGGAAUUGACGGAAGGGCACCACCAGGAGUGGAGCCUGCGGCUUAAUUUGACUCAACACGGGAAAUCUCACCCGGCCCGGACACAGUGAGGAUUGACAGAUUGAGAGCUCUUUCUUGAUUCUGUGGGUGGUGGUGCAUGGCCGUUCUUAGUUGGUGGAGCGAUUUGUCUGGUUAAUUCCGAUAACGAACGAGACUCUGGCUUGCUAACUAGUUACGCGACCCAAUCGGUCGGCGUCUAACUUCUUAGAGGGACUAGUGGCGUUUAGCCACACGAGAUUGAGCAAUAACAGGUCUGUGAUGCCCUUAGAUGUUCGGGGCCGCACGCGCGCUACACUGACCGGAUCAGCAUGUGCUCGCCUUGGCCGACAGGUCUGGGUAACCCGCUGAACCCCGGUCGUGCUAGGGAUAGGGAAUUGCAAUUAUUUCCC
rnacentral:rRNA from 1 species